GUUUUUUUUUUAAGCUCAGCAUGGAAAAAGUUUCUCUGUUAACUACUAGUAUAGUCGUUUUAAAGCACGAUAAUUUAAUUAUAUGCUGUAGUUCUAUCCUUAUCUACUGAAACAGUUUGUUCAACUUGCUGUCUCCCAAGACCCUUUUCUACAGAAAGAAAUGGAGCUUGGUAGGUUAGUAGCUGUCUCUAGAUUGAUAAUGUGUACCCACUGUUGAAAAUUGAGUAGCUGAAGGCAUUGCAUCUUUGGCAGCAGCAGCUCAAAAGGUUUUUAUAGAUCGAGUGCCUGAGUCAGCAGGAAUCCAUCUGCAGUUUAUAGUAAAAAGGUGUGAUACUUCCAGACACUCCAGGAACACAGCUUAGGAGGAAGUGACAGGAGUGAUGAACGCGACCGGGAGGUUUUGCUGUUCAGUGAUUGUUGUGAGAGAUCUGUCAGCAUCUAGAAGGAAAGGCCAGUUUCCAGCACCAGCAUAUUGUUGCAGUAAAGGUGAAAAAGUGAGCAGCUGCAGGGGCCACAACUCAGCUGACAAGACCUCUUCAAGCUUACCCCCAGAGGAUGCAGGAGAGCAGAGCUGGCAGCAGGGGAGGCCUUGGAGCUGUGGCAUCGCCAGGCUGGCAGGGUAGCGCGCUCUUUGGAUGUGAAAACUGACUCACCGCAUUUCUUGGGAUGUAGCAAGCUAAAUGUCAUCGUGUGAGGAACAGAUAGUACUGUGAGUUUCGUAUGGUUUUGCUUGUGAUCUGUAGUCUCUGUGUUGAGAUUGUUGCAGACUGCUUGAGUUUUGGUUUUCCUGACACAGGAAGCAUAGGGAGGGGGACACACAGCUUCUACUGACACGGGAAUCUAAGGAAAAAGAAUGGCUACCCUGAAAUUUGGAAAUCAAACUGCUGAAAUUACGGCAUUCAGCCUUUGUUAGAACUCAGGAAGAUUUCUGUCCGUCACUAACCACUUGUUCUUGCAGCAGCUCUGCUGUUGAAGUGUGAAACCUUUUCUGCAUGCAACUUGUGUGGAGCAGGACAGGAACACAGAGGCCAAAGCCUACGGCAUUAUCUUCGCCCCCGGAGAGGCGCAUAAUUCCCCUACACCUGUAGCGUUUUUCAACUCCUGGGAGUGCGAGUGGGGCAGGUUGUGUGUCACCCGCCCACUCUUCCCAUUGCUCUUCCCUGUACACAGCCCCACGGCAUGCUAUUGUUAGAUAUGAAUGCUAAUUGCUGGUAUUUCAAGGCUCCUAUCUUCUUAUUGCUAAAGCCUGUAACAAUAAUCACAGCCUACAUUCCCCAUCUCUAGGCAUCAAGGAAACAAGAUAUGAUCACAGGCAGUGUGCUGAAGUAAUUGUAGUAUAUAGAAUAUGAGCUUUUUCUGUGUAAACACAGGCCUGGCCACAUCCUAUGAUAGCUCUUCCUACACUCCAUAAGAUGGCUGUUCCCAGGCUCACAACUCACGUCCCCAUUAUGUAUAUAUCUACCCUUGUCAUAACACCACCUCUGAAACACUCACACCGUUUGGUCCUGCUGCAUAAUGUUAAGAGGGUGGAAUUUUAAAUUGAAAAAGGCUGUUUAAGUAAUGUCAGCAGCCUGACUAAUUUCACAAAAGGAAGGAAAUUCAAAGUUAAGGCUA